AUUGGUUGAAAAUUACCUGUGACUUUGGCCACAGGUGAGAUACCUUGCCCAGAGCCACCAGGGCCUCAGCUGCCUGCUCGCCCCUCCUUGUGGGGAGGUAAAACCCCAAGCUCUGACACGU